AAAGAGUAAGAAAUUAUGAGGGGUUUACCUUUUGUAUCAGGGGAAAUCAAAAGUAAAAGUAGUAAAAGAUCGAUCUAAGCAGAGCCUUGUGUAAAAUAACUAUAGUUGAAUUUAUAGUCUUAAUAAAUUAUGUGGUGAAAAAUGUGCGGCGCUUAUGGUAGCUAUUUGUUUUUUUGUUGAGGGGUAAGCUUUCAUUAAUUUAAUUAUACAAAAAAAAAAUAAGAAAUUAGGCUUUGUAUUGGUCAAAUUAUUAAAUUGUUUUAAAUAACUUAAUAAAAGAAGAUAGAUUUAAAGUUAAAAGACUUGGUUUGUUAGUAUAAAUAGACUUAAAUAAUGAAUUUAUUGAAUAGAGCUCGGAGUACUUAAGUAACUCAAAGUAAGUUAGAAUGUUUAACAAAAACAUUUUCUUUUGCGGUAAAUAAGAUAAGACCUGCCCAGUGAUUUUUAACGGCUGCGGUAUUUUGACUGUGCUAAGGUAGCAUAAUCAUUUGCUACUUAAUUGGUAGCUGGAAUGAAAGGUUAAACUAACUUACUCAGUUUGUUGUGCUUUUUAAAAAGUUAAAGUCAAGGUAAGAAUUCUUUGAUGCGCUAGGGGACGAUAAGACCCUAAAAGCUUGACAAUAAGAAUAUUUGUUAGUUAUAAAAAUUAAUUUGUUUUACUGGGGCGGUAAAGGUAUAUAAACUAUUAGGUUAAUGGUAGAUCCUUAAAAUAAAGAUAGAGCGGGAAAGUUACUUUAGGGAUAACAGUGCAAUAUUUUUGGAGAGAUCUUAUCGAUAAGAAUGUUUGCAACCUCGAUGUUGAAUUAAAAUGUCUACGUGAAGCAGCAGGUACGUAAGAGGGUUUGUUCAACCUUUAAAU
rnacentral:rRNA from 1 species